rnacentral:rRNA from 1 species
GUGGGGAAUAUUGCACAAUGGGGGAAACCCUGAUGCAGCAACGCCGCGUGAGUGAUGACGGUCUUCGGAUUGUAAAACUCUGUCUUUGGGGACGAUAAUGACGGUACCCAAGGAGGAAGCCACGGCUAACUACGUGCCAGCAGCCGCGGUAAUACGUAGGUGGCAAGCGUUGUCCGGAUUUACUGGGCGUAAAGGGAGCGUAGGCGGAUUUUUAAGUGGGAUGUGAAAUACUCGGGCUCAACCUGAGUGCUGCAUUCCAAACUGGAGAUCUAGAGUGCAGGAGGGGAGAGUGGAAUUCCUAGUGUAGCGGUGAAAUGCGUAGAGAUUAGGAAGAACACCAGUGGCGAAGGCGACUCUCUGGACUGUAACUGACGCUGAGGCUCGAAAGCGUGGGGAGCAAACAGGAUUAGAAACCCGUGUAGUCC